GACGAACGCUGGCGGCGUGCCUAAUACAUGCAAGUCGAACGAGUUGCGAACGGGUGAGUAACGCGUGGUAACCUGCCUCAUAGGGGGGGAUAACAAUUGAAAACGAUAGCUAAUACCGCAUACUGUGAGAUGGAACUGCGUUGUAUUAGCUAGUUGGUGGGGUAAAGGCUCACCAAGGCGACGAUACAUUGCCGACUUGAGAGGUGGAUCGGCCACACUGGGACUGAGACACGGUCCAGACUCCUACGGGAGGCAGCAGUGGGGAAUAUUGCACAAGGGGCGCAAGCCUGAUGCAGCCAUGCCGCGUGUAUGAAGAAGGCCUUCGGGUUGUAAAGUACUUUCAGCGGGGAGGCGUUACCCGCAGAAGAAGCACCGGCUAACUCCGUGCCAGCCGCCGCGGUAAUUC
rnacentral:rRNA from 1 species